UACGAAGGGGGCUAGCGUUGUUCGGAAUUACUGGGCGUAAAGGGCGCGUAGGCGGUGUGUCAAGUCAGGCGUGAAAGCCCCGGGCUCAACCUGGGAACCGCGCUUGAGACUGGCACACUCGAGUUCGGGAGAGGAUGGUGGAAUUCCCAGUGUAGAGGUGGAAUGCGUAGAUAUCUGGAAGAACACCAGUGGCGAAGGCGGCCUUCUGGACUGACACUGACGCUGAAGCGCGAAAGCUAGGGGAGCAAACAGG
rnacentral:rRNA from 1 species